AUCCACGGCCAUAGGACUCUGAAAGCACCGCAUCCCGUCCGAUCUGCGCAGUUAACCAGAGUGC
rnacentral:rRNA from 1 species